rnacentral:lncRNA from 1 species
GUUUGGAUUUAGUUUAGGUUCAAAAGAGCACGCACAGAUCCUGAGUGUUGUCAAGCACCCGUGACUGGGAAACGGAGGCGUCCGAUCCGUAUUGGAGUCAAUUCGCCACUUAAUUGAACACAGCCUCGAAGGGAAGGGCCAUAUUUGUGGGCCUGUCUAACAAUUAAGAGUGACCACAUGGAAUGGGGGAUGAAAGGGUUAAAGAAGAACAAAUAUUGAACACAGCUUUUCUAUGAACAAACUGCAGGCAGCUGCUGCUUUGCAAGGGAAGCAGUUGAUUGAGAAUAAUGGUUCUGUUUUGGAGGUUGAUGGAAGAUGCCCUUUGGCCAGGAAAACAGCUCAUGCUUUUAGAGGAGGAUAAUUGCCAGAAGGCCUCUCUGAAUAAAAAAAAAUCCUGACCUCACAGCCUUUGCGCUUACUUGGGUUAGAAUGCCACAGUGAACAUUGCCCCUUGUCAUCACGUAGAGGUGCUCACAGAAAAACCCUUUGAAAAGAUUCAGCACGUUGCCAUGGAGAACAUCCCACUGAAGGAAUGUAUAGAAGUAGCAGGGAUCUGCAAUGAGAUGGGAGAAGGCAACAGGCUGUGUGGGAACCACUGAAGCUGGGAUGGCAGGGAAAGAACAUCUUAGGCUAACUCUUCAAGCCUUGCUGUCACAUUUGCUUUUGAGUCUAUGGUGUCAGCUGCCUACCAGUUGCUUUCAUCUCUAGAAAUCUGUGACUUGCAGUAUGACAAGAACAAAAGGUGACAAUACAAAGGACAAAGGGCAAGGAAUACAGACGGAGAAGCCGCUUAGAGUCUAGGAUGGCAGAGGUUCUCUUGAUCAUUUCAUUUUUGAGCGCUUGUAGAGCUUUGGUGUACCAGAGGUGCUUGAACAGCUUACCACACCACAGAUGAAUGGCCUUUGGAUUUCUCCUAAGAAAAUGUGGCUACCUGAAAUUCAACUCCAUUUUCUGGUCUUCAAUAUUUCUUUUGUGUUCAGUUUGCCAGCUGAGGAGAAGUGGCUAAGCAUAGCCUGUUACUGAUGCUAAAGCCCAAGUUCUGAACCUAACAACUCCAGCAACAUGAUCCUGUUUCAAGAGACAAAAAAGUGACUAAUGAAAGAAAACAAUUGAUGUGCUAUGUAGAGUUUAAAAGAAGGUAAAGAGAAUAAAUUAAAAGCAACAACUCU